UACGAGGGGGGCAAGCGUUGUUCGGAAUUAUUGGGCGUGAAGGGCGCGUAGGCGGUGCGGUAAGUCUGAUGUGAAAUCUCCGGGCUCAACUCGGAGUCUGCAUCAGAAACUGCCGUGCUUGAGUGUGGGAGAGGUGAGUGGAAUUCCCGGUGUAGCGGUGAAAUGCGUAGAUAUCCUAAGGAACACCGGUGGCGAAAGCGGCUCACUGGGUCUCUUCUGACGCUGAGGCACGAAAGCUAGGGUAGCGAACGGG
rnacentral:rRNA from 1 species